UUAACUGUAUAUCCAGUACCAGCAAAUGGUGGAUCACCUACAUCUAUACAAGCCAAAGAUCAAGAUACAUUGAACUAUUCAAUUGACUUUUCAAUUCAACAGACUAUUCCUGCUGGAUAUGAAAACAAGUUUACAGUGAGUGGUGCUGGUCCUAUAGAUGGUUACUAUACUGCUACAGUUUCUGUAGUAGACCAAAUUAACAGGAAUGAUAUUACUUCACUACAGGUUGUUCUUAAGGCUACAGAGAAUGGCCCUUCAGAUAAUCGAAGAUCCAACAGAGCUAUAAUAAGAGUGAGCAUUGUACCGGCUAAUAAUGCUGAUCCUAUUAUAUCUAGUAACAUUUCACCAGAUUUUAUUGGUUAUAUUCGAGAAGAUGCUGCAGCUGGGGCAUUUGCUAAAUCACAGAAUUUGGAUACUACCCUUCAGCUUAUAAUUACUGAUGCUGAUGUUAAACAAGGUGAUCCCCAACCAAACUACGAUUUUACUUUGAAUCCAUCUACUACCUUUCGAGUUGAUAAUAAUGGUUUUAUACGUCUGUUAGCUGGUAAUCUGAAUUAUGAAACAGUAAGAAGCUAUACCUUUAAUGUAAUAGUCACAGAGAGAGAUACAGCUGAACGAAGACAAGCUACAACAUCCGUAACUAUAAAUGUAUUGGAUGUCAAUGAUAAUUCACCAAUUUUUACUUCGAAGAUAUAUAAUGCAACUGUCGCAGAGGGUGAUUAUUCUCCCCCUUCAGUAGCACAAGCUCUUGCUACUGUUGUUGCUACAGAUGCUGAUUUAACUGCGCCAUUUAAUACUAUUUCAUAUCAAAUAGAAUCUGUUCAACCAAACCAACCACAAAAAUUUUCUGUUGUAAGAGGUAAUGUUGUGGCUUUAAAUGGUCAAGUUACUUUAGGAGACAGUUAUGUUAUUGCAGUCCGGGCCUCAGAUGGCGGAACUCCAGCACGAAGUGAUGUGGCUAUUGUGUACUUAACUGUUACAUCAGGACAAAAUAGAAAUCCACAAAUACCAUCACCUGGAUAUACUGUAUCUGUCAGUGAGGGUAUUGUUCUUAACAGUCAAGUCUUUGAUGUUCCGGCCAGUGACCCAGAGGGCCAGCUACUGACUUAUGCAAUUACUGGUGGAGAUAUAACAUCAUCAUUUAAUAUUGGUACUCAAGGAAUUAUUCGAAAUGUAAGACUGUUAGACAGAGAAUCUAGAGAUAGACAUGAAUUAACAGUAGUGGUUACUGAUCCACAAGGUUUGACGGCUUCAACAACAGUAACUGUACUUGUAACUGAUAUUAAUGAUAAUUCCCCUGUAUUUGGGACAGCAUCCUACAACUUUAAUGUACCUGAAAAUGCUGUAAAUGCUGUUGCUGGUUCCGUAAAUGCAGCUGAUAUAGAUCUGCCGAACAACCCAAAUAGUGCUAUUACAUACAGUCUUGAUGAUCCAAAUAAUUUGUUUCUGAUAAACCAAAAUACUGGAGAAAUAUCUACUAGAGUACCUUUAGACUAUGAGGUUCAGCAGCGGUAUAUUAUCCGUGCUAUAGCUACUGAUGGUGGAAUUAACCCACGAGUUGGUACUGCUUCUGUAACUAUUGAUGUUACCGAUGUUGCUGACUCCAACCCACUUUUUAACCCAAGAGAUUAUGAAGUCAGUGUAGCCGAGGGUAGUAUAAAUGCUGCUGUAGUAACAGUUAGUGCAAUUGAUAGAGAUGGUCCUACUAAUCAAAAUAUUGUUUAUAAAUUUGGAGCUGGAGAAAUAGGAAGCUUUAUUCUUAACGAAGUAACUGGUGCAAUAACGACUCGAGUAGCACUAGAUUAUGAGACAAAAAAAUUGUAUGUAUUUCAAGUUACAACAACUGAUGGGGAAGGGGAAAAUGAUCUCUCUGGUACUGCUACAGUAACUGUCAAUGUUCGGGAUUUGAAUGAUGGAACACCUACCUUAGUAUUAAAUACAGUAAAUUCAAGACUAUUAGAGAAUGUUCCUAUUGGAACUUUAAUAAGUACUGCCAUAGGUACAGAUACUGAUGAAGAGGGACCCAAUAAUAGAAUAGUGUAUUCAAUUGAUAAUAUUAUUCCGGCCUCUGGAAUUAGUCUCUUUUUCAUUAACCCACAAACUGGUCGAUUACUUACAAGCAAUCGACUCACAUCGGAUGCUAACAGACCUGCUGAAUAUGAUCUGACAAUUAAAGCAUCUGAUGAAGGUAGCCCACCCAGAUCUGUUACACAACCUCUUAAAGUCACAGUUGUACGAAACACAGCUCCUCGAUUUGAUCCUAACGCUAGAACUAUUGAUGUUCGAGAAGAUGAAGUAGUUAAUGGGCGUAUUGGAAUAGCUACAGCUAUCGAAGUUGACACAGAGGCUCCAUUUAAUCAGAUAUCUUAUCAGCUUAUUGGAGAUGGAAUAGCUGUAGAUUAUUUCAAUGUUGAAACCAAUGGAGACAUUAUGAUCAAGAAAAACUUACGAGACGAUCCAUCUUUGACAUACACACUUCGAAUUCGUGUUACUGAUGGUGGCGGUUUAUUUAAUGACCUUACUGUUACUGUACCUGUUGACAGGAAUCUGAAUACACCAGUGGUAUCACAACAGAAUUAUACAAUAACAAUUCCAGCAAACAGAGCUCUUAACGAACGUUUAGUUCAAAUUCAAGCAAUUGAUAGUGAUUUUCAGGCUCCACACAACCAACUCAGUUUCACGAUCCAGUCCAAUCAAAAGGCUCUUGAAUAUUUAAGUGUGAAUUCAAAUGGUGAAGUGGUAUUAAUUAAGUCACCAGUUGGAGAACCCAGUUUAGACAGAUUAGAAGCUGUUGUACAAGUGAGUGAUAGAGGUCUCCCAACACCAAAAGUAGCUGCCAGGGCAUCAUAUGUUACUGUUUUAAUAGAGAGAAAUUCCCAGGAUCCUAUAUUUUUCAACACUGCUUACGUAAUUACCAUUCCUGAAACAUCACCUGUUAACUCACAGGUGAUAACAGUUCAAGCCAAUGAUUCGGAUACAAGACCUGAGUUUAGGACAAUAACAUAUGAAUUAGUUGGAGAUGACAAAGGUCCCGAUUUCUUCCAAGUUACCAGUGGAACAGGUGAUAUUACAGUUAAAGCUGAUUUAACAACAGAAGCUCAGGAUAGAUAUGUAUUACGUGUUGUUGCGAAAGAUUCAUUGACAAAUCCAAGAUCUGCUACAGCCUUGGUUUUUGUUCUUGUAACAAGAAAUUUUCAGCCACCGUCAUUUGCUGAGCCAAGUUAUUCGAUAACGAUUGGUGAAGAUCGAAGUUUAGCAACAUCUUUCAUCCAAGUUUCAGCAAGAGAUAAUGA